rnacentral:rRNA from 1 species
UACGUAUGGAGCAAGCGUUAUCCGGAUUUACUGGGUGUAAAGGGUGCGUAGGCGGCACAGCAAGUCAGAUGUGAAAGACCGGGGCUCAACCCCGGGGCUGCAUUUGAAACUGCCGAGCUUGAGUCCGGGAGAGGCAGGCGGAAUUCCUAGUGUAGCGGUGAAAUGCGUAGAUAUUAGGAGGAACACCAGUGGCGAAGGCGGCCUGCUGGACCGGAACUGACGCUGAGACACGAAAGCGUGGGGAGCAAAUAGG